GACGAACGCUGGCGGCGUGCUUAACACAUGCAAGUCGAACGGAAAGGCCUCUUUCGGGGGGUACUCGAGUGGCGAACGGGUGAGUAACACGUGAGUAACCUGCCCUUGACCUUGGGAUAACUUCAGGAAACUGGGGCUAUCACCGGAUCGGAGCUCCUGCUCCAUGGUGGGGGUUGGCAAGUUUUGGCGCUUGGGGAGGGGUUCGCGGCUUAUCAGCUAGUUGGUAGGGUAGUGGCUUACCAAGGCAUCGACGAAUAGCUGGCUUGAGAGGAUGAUCAGCCACACUGGGACUGAGAAACGGCCCAGACUACUACGGGAGGCAGUAGUGGGGAAUAUUGGACAAUGGGCGAAAGCCUGAUCCAGCAAUGCCGCGUGAGUGAUGAAGGCCUUAGGGUUGUAAAGCUCUUUUACAAGGGAUGAUAAUGACAGGACCGGGAGAAUAAGCUCCGGCUAACUCCGUG
rnacentral:rRNA from 1 species